GGAGGAGCCCAAGGCCGGUGACGACGGACGCCACGGGUCGAAGGGGCCGAAGAACUCGGCGGCGAAGGUGACCACGUCCUCCGGCUGGCGCAGCAGCAGGAAGAGCAGGAAGUCGGAGAUGAGCGCGUGGGCUUCGGGGUGCUGCCGCAGAUAGCUGGCGUGGCCGAGCCGGAGCUCCUCCUGGCAGGGGACAGAGCCCGAGCCUCAGCCGGACGGGACCCCCGCGCCCCAGGAGCCCCCAGCCGCUCGCUCCAAGGAGAGCUAAGGGGCGCUGGAGCCUUCUAGCCCCUACGGGUGUGCAUUUCAAUCAGGGGCUUCUUCUCAAACACUGGGCGUGGCUCAAUCUCAUCUAGGUGGGGAACAAGGAAGGCUGGGCGUCCCUACCCCGGAACCUUCCUUGGAUACACAGCGAGAUCCCGAGAACACCCAAACAGAAGGCUCAGGUGCCUGGAGUGCAACACAACAUGUGAGAGUGAGAAUCUUCCCAGACCGCCUGCUAUGGACUGAAUUGUCUCUCUAACCCCCAGUGUGGUGGUAUUUGGAGAAAGGCCAUGUGAGGACACAUUGAGAAGGCACUUGUCUGCAAGCUAGGAAGACAGCCCUCACCAGAAACCAACCCUGAUGGCACCAUGAUCUUGGACUUCCUGCCUUCCAGCAAAUAUAUUUCUCUUGAAGCC
rnacentral:lncRNA from 1 species